rnacentral:rRNA from 1 species
UACGGAGGGGCUAGCGUUGUUCGGAAUUACUGGGCGUAAAGCGCGCGUAGGCGGAUCUGCAAGUCGGGGGUGAAAUCCCGAGGCUCAACCUCGGAAGAUGCCUUCGAUACUGCGGGUCUCGAGUCCGGGAGAGGUGAGUGGAAUUCCUAGUGUAGAGGUGAAAUUCGUAGAUAUUAGGAAGAACACCAGUGGCGAAGGCGGCUCCACUGGCCCGGUACUGACG